rnacentral:rRNA from 1 species
UACAGAGGGGGCAAGCGUUAUUCGGAAUUAUUGGACGUAAAGGGCGCGUAGGCGGCUUGGCAAGUGGAUGGUGAAAUCCCUCGGCUUAACCGAGGAACUGCCGUCCAAACUGCUUUGCUUGAGACCGGGAGAGGUGAGUGGAAUUCCCAGUGUAGCGGUGAAAUGCGUAGAUAUUGGGAGGAACACCAGUGGCGAAGGCGGCUCACUGGACCGGUACUGACGCUGAUGCGCGAAAGCGUGGGGAGCAAACGGG